UUCAUUUUUAUUUUUUUUUCUUUUCCCUUUUUUUUUCUUUUCUUUUUUUUUUUUUUUUUUUUUAUUAAGUUACACGUAUUAAUUUUAUUUCUAGAAUGAUCAUUUGUUAUACACGUUACUUUAUUUAAGAAAUUAGAAUUGAGGAGAUUGAGAUUAUAUAUGCAACAAAAAAUUGUUAUUUAAUUAAUGUACGAGAGAAAGAGAAAGAGAUAUGUGUAGAAUGAACACGACGAAGUGCAUCUUGAUUGGUUAUGUCCUAUCUAGAAUGAACUUUCGCGUGACAGUAAGAUUUUCUUUUCUCUUUUAAAUAUAUUUAUUUCUCUUUUCUUUUUUUUUUCUUUUUCAUUUCUCUCUCUCUCUCUCUCUUUCUCUCUCUUUCUCUCUUUUUCUUUAUCUUUCUCCUUCCUUCUCUCGAGAAUCUUCGCGAACGUCGCGUGUACGUUCAAAGAGAUAAUUUGCAAGAUGCUCGCACGAUCGUCGCGAUAUAUAAUAUUAUAUGUAAGCAAUUUGAAAUGAUUCUCCUUCAAAGCGUUAACUGAAACAUUCGGCCUGACACUUUUUCGUCGUUCCCUUUCUACACUUUGAAAUCCUUUUAUGUAGUUUAUUCGAUUCGAAGGAAAGAAAGAAAGAAAGAAAGAAAGAAAGAAAGAAAGAAAGAAAAAGAAAAAAAAAGAGAGAGAAAGAAGAAGAAACGAAAUAAACAUUGCGAGACAAUUUUACAAUCUUUGCAAUCAUCUGGUAUUACGUGUGUUACGUUUUUCUUUUUUACAGUUUUCUCGGAAUUCAAUCAGAAAACAUAUAUACAUAUAUACGUACAUACAUACAUAUAUACAUAAAUACAUACAUAGGAAAGUGUUGAAUAUUUUUGAAAUUUCGCUCGAGUCAUAAGUCACAAAUUUUAAUUAAUCUUAUCGAUUGAUUGAACGAUACAUUUGAUACAUUAAAUUAUAUUGUAUAAUGCAGUAUUGUAUAAUUAAUACAAUAUAAUAUAAUAUAAUGUAUGAAUGUGAUUGGAUCGAUCGAAUAAUCGUCUUUAAUCGUAUGAUCCCCGUCAUUUUUUUUUCUGAUUUAUUUUUCGGAUGGAUUUUCAUCUUUGUUUUGUGAAUGGUGGGAAGGGAGAUAGACGGGAGGGGAGGGGUGGGGUCAUAUUAAAUAGAAUAAAACGAGAGAGGAUGAGAACGAAAAAAAUAAAAGGGCGGAGAAAAGGAGAAAGAAACAAAAACAACAAUAAUAAUAAUAAUAAUAAUAAAAAAAGAAAACAGCAAAAAAGAAAAAGAUGAACCGUAAAAGGGAGUAAAGAAUAAGGAGAGAAAGAGAGAGAGAGAGAGAAGCUCGCGGGCCGGUUACUUCCAUUCGCGGCAUUUUGCGACGUGCAUCUUGCUUUGCGAAGGCGAAGUAACGACGAUGGCGAACAUUAUUACUACAGCAUUAGCAGCAUCAGCAGUAGUAGUUGCAGGAGCAAAAGCAGUAGCAGGAACAGUAGCAGUAGCAGUAGCAGUAGUAGGAUCAGUAACAGCAGUAGCAGUAACGUGGCGCACGUGUGUUUGCGCAUUCUACGAUCCGAUUGGUUAAAAUGCAAGUAACCUUCGCGGAUAGUUGAGGCUCGUUGUUUAAAAUCAAUGCUCUCGGAUGACAUUCAACAAAAAUUCUUAAAAAAAUUUAACGAAGAAGAACGAACUCGAAUGACAAUUUAUUAUUAUUAUUAUUAUUAUUAAUAUUAUUAUAUUACUAUUGUUAUUAUUAUUAAUAUUACUCGUGUUAAGGAACGAACCAAAGAGAUUAGAACAGUGCAGUGAAUUAUCCGUAUACCAAAUUGAUACCAAAAGUUUAGUGAAAAAUUACGAACUUAUGUGAGUGUUUAUGUGGAUGGUAUUUGCCGGUGAACGACGAAGAAGAUAAGCCUGUUUUGAAGAAAAAGAAAGGAAUAAAUAAAUAAAUAAAAAAUAAUAAUAAUAAAGAAAGAAAGGAGAGAAGAGCAAAAAUAUAUAAAAGAAAUAAAAGUGAGAAAGAAAAGAA